CUGUUCUGACUUUCUGUGUUCUGGUUCUUCUGGUUCUUCUGGUUCUUCUGGUUCUACUGGUGAGACGAUGCCUCCAUAUAAAACCUAAAGCUGCUGAAGUAGAAGCUGGGGAUGAUGACAUCACAGAUGACAUCACAUACAGUGAUGUCAAAAUAUCGCGUCACUUACAGCAGCCAAUCAGACGCAGCAAAGAGAGUGAUCCAGCUGCAGUCUACUCAGCAGUGAGAGGAACAGGAGACGUCAGUUAUGGACAAAUAGCCAUCAAAGACAUCAAA